GGGUGUAUAGCUCAAUGGUAGAGUGCUGUCCUAGCAUAAACAAAGCCCUGGAUUUGAUCCCCAGUACUACCA
rnacentral:tRNA from 1 species